AGAGUUUGAUCCUGGCUCAGAGCGAACGCUGGCGGCAGGCUUAACACAUGCAAGUCGAGCGGGCGUAGCAAUACGUCAGCGGCAGACGGGUGAGUAACGCGUGGGAACGUACCUUUUGGUUCGGAACAACCCAAGGAAACUUGGGCUAAUACCGGAUAAGCCCUUACGGGGAAAGAUUUAUCGCCGAAAGAUCGGCCCGCGUCUGAUUAGCUAGUUGGUGGGGUAAUGGCCCACCAAGGCGACGAUCAGUAGCUGGUCUGAGAGGAUGAUCAGCCACAUUGGGACUGAGACACGGCCCAAACUCCUACGGGAGGCAGCAGUGGGGAAUAUUGGACAAUGGGCGCAAGCCUGAUCCAGCCAUGCCGCGUGAGUGAUGAAGGCCCUAGGGUUGUAAAGCUCUUUUGUGCGGGAAGAUAAUGACGGUACCGCAAGAAUAAGCCCCGGCUAACUUCGUGCCAGCAGCCGCGGUAAUACGAAGGGGGCUAGCGUUGCUCGGAAUCACUGGGCGUAAAGGGUGCGUAGGCGGGUCUUUAAGUCAGGGGUGAAAUCCUGGAGCUCAACUCCAGAACUGCCUUUGAUACUGAAGAUCUUGAGUUCGGGAGAGGUGAGUGGAACUGCGAGUGUAGAGGUGAAAUUCGUAGAUAUUCGCAAGAACACCAGUGGCGAAGGCGGCUCACUGGCCCGAUACUGACGCUGAGGCACGAAAGCGUGGGGAGCAAACAGGAUUAGAUACCCUAGUAGUCC
rnacentral:rRNA from 1 species